CGUAGGUGGCAAGCGUUGUCCGGAUUUACUGGGCGUAAAGCGCGUGUAGGUGGUUUGGAAAGUCCGGGGUGAAAUCUUGCGGCUCAACUGCAAGAGGUCCUUGGAUACUUCCAGACUUGAGGGAGGCAGAGGAAGGUGGAAUUCCCGGUGUAGUGGUGAAAUGCGUAGAUAUCGGGAGGAACACCAGUGGCGAAGGCGGCCUUCUGGGCCUUUCCUGGCGCUGAGGCGCGAAAGCGUGGGUAGCAAACCGGAUUAGAUACCCGGGUAGUCCACGCCCUAAACGAUGAGCACUAGGUGUGGGGGGUAUCGACCCCCUCCGUGCCGAAGCUAACGCGAUAAGUGCUCCGCCUGGGGACUACGGCCGCAAGGCUA
rnacentral:rRNA from 1 species